GACAGAGGGUGCAAACGUUGUUCGGAAUUACUGGGCGUAAAGCGCGUGUAGGCUGCUCUGCAAGUCGGAUGUGAAAGCCCUGGGCUCAACCUAGGAAGUGCAUUCGAAACUGCGGAGCUUGAGUCCUGGAGAGGAAGGCGGAAUUCUCGGUGUAGAGGUGAAAUUCGUAGAUAUCGAGAGGAACACCGGUGGCGAAGGCGGCCUUCUGGACAGUGACUGACGCUGAGACGCGAAAGCCAGGGGAGCAAACGGG
rnacentral:rRNA from 1 species